CUCACAUGGGGCUGACAUAGAGCUCUAGUUUCACAUUAAAAUUAGGAUGAGAUCAGGGGAACAAGUUACAGAGGUCACUACCACGAAUGACAAGCCAAGCUUCUGGGCAGCAAAUAUCCAAAACACAGAAUCUCAGACAACAGGCAUUUAAAUGAAGUCUAUGCGUAAUUGGCUCCAUGCUGAAAAUGCCACAGGACCAAGGAUAGAGCCUUGUGGGACACCGUCUGGACCUGUCUGAGCACUGUCACGGAUGUUUGCUAGCUCCCUGCAGGCAUGUUGGUGCUUGGAUGAAUGAGGGAAAAGCAUGUCCAGUGUCAGCAACCAGAGCAAACUCAGGAUUGGCAGAGGGAGGUCCUUUUGAAGUAACAAACCAAAGGAAGAGGAUAGCAGCUUUGCUGUAUCAGUCGUGGUAAAUACAGGAACAUUCUUCAUGAAGAUGUGCGAGAGAAGCUUGCAAGCCCAGUGUCAGUGAAGAUGGUGUGAUCAGGAAAUCUGGUAUUUUUAGGAAAUCUGAAAGAACAUCUCCCAGCAUUCUACUACGAUGUUGAUGAUUGAGGAAUUUUUUUCUGACUUUCCUGCCUCUUUGGAACAUUUCCGUUCACCGAGACCGUGGAGAGAUGGUGUGCAGCUUCAUGACAUUUGAAGGUUACUGCCGAUGGAGAGCUUCUGGGACACUGACAAACAGCACUUCCCAGCAAGUUCAUUUGGAGUUCUUUUUUUUUUUAUUAAUUAAUUUAUUUAGUCAAACUUGCGUUCACUAAUGCUGGAGUAAGAUUUUAGAAGAAACCUUUCGGUCCUGUUUAAUGUUGGUGCUAGUAAAGGUUUGAGAAUUUAUGGCCUGGUUUCACAGACAGGGCUUAGACUAAGCCAAGAUUAGGCCAUAGUUCAAUUAGGCCAUUUAAGUCAUUUUCAUUAACAUGCCUUAGAAAAAACAUUACUGGUGUGCAUCUUGAGACAAAACAAAAGCACUGAUAUUUUUAAAGAUCAGUCAGUGCAAGUUUCUUUCAGUUGAAACAGCUCAGAAUUCAAUUCAAUUCAAUUCAAUUCAAAUGAGCUUUAUUGGCAUGACUUGCACAGUAUUGCCAAAGCAUAAUUAUAGAAUUACAUUUUAGUCUGGGGCUGGUCUUAAGCCUUGUCUGUGAAACCGCGGGUACCAUUAAACACAGUUUGGUAAUGUUUUACAAUAAGGUCUAAUUUUUUUUUUUUUUUGUAUUAAGUGUGUGUGUUUGUGUGUUAGUAAUCCUAUACGUUAUGGAGACCAAAUGACUCCACAAGGAUAGUAAUACCAGUAAGUUUUGACCUUGUGAACAUUUUUAGGUUCCCAAUGAGGAAACCAGCUUAUAUAUCAUAAACAAUGAUGUUUUCUAUGAUGGCGAGAUUAGGUACUUUUGUAUGUAAGUAUGUAAGUGAUUUUGCAUUGUUCUCCAGACUCUUUCUAAUAAGUGAGUUAAAGUGUUAUUUUUUUGUCAAUAAAUGUAGAGGGUUUUCCAUUUUGUGUUUGUG